rnacentral:rRNA from 1 species
CGAAUUCGCCCUUCCUACGGGAGGCAGCAGUGGGGAAUAUUGGACAAUGGGGGAAACCCUGAUCCAGCGACGCCGCGUGUGUGAAGAAGGCCUGCGGGUUGUAAAGCACUUUUAGUGGGGAUGAAAAGCUCAGGGCUAAUACCCCUGGGUCUUGACCUAACCCACAGAAAAAGCACCGGCUAACUCUGUGCUAGCAGCCGCGGUAAUACAGAGGGUGCAAGCGUUAAUCGGAAUUACUGGGCGUAAAGCGUGCGUAGACGGUCAUGUAAGUCGGGUGUGAAAGCCCCGGGCUCAACCUGGGAAUUGCAUUCGAGACUGCAUGGCUAGGGUGCGGAAGAGGGAAGCGGA